GGGAAUAUUGGACAAUGGGCGCAAGCCUGAUCCAGCCAUGCCGCGUGAGUGAUGACGGCCUUAGGGUUGUAAAGCUCUUUCGCACGCGACGAUAAUGACGGUAGCGUGAGAAGAAGCCCCGGCUAACUUCGUGCCAGCAGCCGCGGUAAUACGAAGGGGGCUAGCGUUGUUCGGAUUUACUGGGCGUAAAGCGCACGUAGGCGGAUCUUUAAGUCAGGGGUGAAAUCCCGAGGCUCAACCUCGGAACUGCCUUUGAUACUGGGGAUCUUGAGUCCGGAAGAGGUGAGUGGAACUGCGAGUGUAGAGGUGAAAUUCGUAGAUAUUCGCAAGAACACCAGUGGCGAAGGCGGCUCACUGGUCCGGAACUGACGCUGAGGUGCGAAAGCGUGGGGAGCAAA
rnacentral:rRNA from 1 species